rnacentral:tRNA from 1 species
GGUCCUAUAGCUCUUUGGUUAGUAGGGCUUUGCCCGUCAAGGCUUUAGCCGCUAGUAGCUGACUCAUAAUCAGUUGGUCCCUGGUUCGAGCCCAGGUGGGACCACCA